UACGAAGGGGGCUAGCGUUGCUCGGAAUUACUGGGCGUAAAGCGCACGUAGGCGGUCUUUUAAGUCAGGGGUGAAAUCCUGGAGCUCAACUCCAGAACUGCCUUUGAUACUGGGGAUCUCGAGUCCGGGAGAGGUGAGUGGAACUGCGAGUGUAGAGGUGAAAUUCGUAGAUAUUCGCAAGAACACCAGUGGCGAAGGCGGCUCACUGGCCCGGUACUGACGCUGAGGUGCGAAAGCGUGGGGAGCAAACAGG
rnacentral:rRNA from 1 species